rnacentral:rRNA from 1 species
GAAGAUGUGUCGCGAGGCAUGUUGGAGGUCCCACAAGAGCUCAUGCUAGCAUAAGUAGCGUACAAGGCAGGUGAAAAACCUGCCCGCCGGAAGUCCAAGGUUUCCUGGGCCAGGGUAAUCCUCCCAGGGUUAGUCGGUACCUAAGGUGAGGCCGAAAGGCGUAAUCGAUGGAAAACUGAUUAAUAUUUCAGUACCAGUCGUGUGGAGUGAUGCAGGG